UUCAUAAAAUUUUUAACACAUCACACCGAUUAAGCAUAUUUUUAUUAACAAUAUUACAGCGAGACAUCCUAUUAGAAAGGAUUGUCAACUUAACACCUACCCGAUGAAACGAGUGCUUUCAAAACUUUCGAGAUGAACGAUUUCGGAGAUGUCAUUAAAGUAAAGUUCGACAUGUUAAUCAAUUAGAGGGAAAAACCGAGCAAUAAUUAGUUUCACUAAAUGUACAAGUUGACGGCAAACUAGUUUCAAACAAAUCGUAAUUAUAAAUACUAAGGGUUCACGCCACUUUUUCAAAGAGGAAGAAAAUGAGCCUUCUGUCAACAUGUCUUCUGUGAAAACGACACCAGUGAUAUAUUGUAUCGGGGCCCAGGACCAGCACUCGAACCGUAAUAAUGGCUGUACGCCUCUCUUGAAUUAUUGUCAACUAAGUCUUCCCCCUUGUUGGCUCCAAGUCUCUCUGUGAGAGGUUGGCAAGGGUUGCCUGGGAACAGUUCUGCCAACAGAGGGAUUGGAACUAUGCAAACAAUGGAAACUCUUUUCAUCCCUGAUCGGAAACUCGAUAUUCUACAAGUUUUUGAACUGUGCUCCACGGUUGGACGUUAUAUAAAAAUAUUUAUCACGCGUGAUAAUGCCUAGAAGAAUAAAGAUCAGAUAACGGCUAUAAAAUGUGUUAUGUUUAAUAAAUACCAUUUCUCGAUCC